rnacentral:rRNA from 1 species
UACGAGGGGUGCAAACGUUAUUCGGAUUUACUGGGUGUAAAGGGUGUGUAGACGGUUUGUUAAGUUUGUUGUUAAAUUUUUCGGCCUAACCGGAAACUUGCGGUGAAAACUGGCAGACUUGAGAGUGAAAGAGAGAAGCGGAAUUCUCGGAGUAGCGGUAAAAUGCGUAGAUCUCGAGAGGAACACCGAUGGCGAAAGCAGCUUCUUGGUUCACUUCUGACGUUGAAACACGAAAGCGUGGGGAG